rnacentral:lncRNA from 1 species
CUGUGUGCUGGUUUCCCACCUUGGCUUCGGUUCCCUGGAGCUCCAGGGUUGAGAAUCCCACUUGUUCCACGAAUGAACAGCAGGAUUGGUGUUUUGAGGAUCCUUUGGCAAAUUUCUGACAAGGAAGAGUCCCCACCAAGGUCUUGCCUGUGACACCUGGAGCUGCCCUGGCCCCUGAAAGGCUCCAAAUCCCCUGGUGUUUGAGGAGAAAUAGAAACAAGAUCCAUAACAGAGUUAUUUGGGGAAUUCCACACUGGGAUGACACAGCAGUGUCCCAACCUGGCAGUCACUGGUCAGACCACAGGGGCAGUGAGUGAAAAGCCACAUCCAUGGACACAAAGGGGACCUUCCAUCCAGAGCAGCUCCUGGC